AAUGGGCGCAAGCCUGAUGCAGCAACGCCGCGUGAGGGAUGACGGCCUUCGGGUUGUAAACCUCUUUUAGCAGGGAAGAAGCGAAAGUGACGGUACCUGCAGAAAAAGCGCCGGCUAACUACGUGCCAGCAGCCGCGGUAAUACGUAGGGCGCAAGCGUUAUCCGGAAUUAUUGGGCGUAAAGAGCUCGUAGGCGGUUUGUCGCGUCUGCUGUGAAAUCCGGAGGCUCAACCUCCGGCCUGCAGUGGGUACGGGCAGACUAGAGUGCGGUAGGGGAGAUUGGAAUUCCUGGUGUAGCGGUGGAAUGCGCAGAUAUCAGGAGGAACACCGAUGGCGAAGGCAGAUCUCUGGGCCGUAACUGACGCUGAGGAGCGAAAGGGUGGGGAGCAAACAGGCUUAGAUACCCUGGUAGUCCACCCCGUAAACGUUGGGAACUAGUUGUGGGGUCCAUUCCACGGAUUCCGUGACGCAGCUAACGCAUUAAGUUCCCCGCCUGGGGAGUACGGCCGCAAGGCUAAAACUCAAAGGAAUUGACGGGGACCCGCACAAGCGGCGGAGCAUGCGGAUUAAUUCGAUGCAACGCGAAGAACCUUACCAAGGCUUGACAUAUACGAGAACGGGCCAGAAAUGGUCAACUCUUUGGACACUCGUAAACAGGUGGUGCAUGG
rnacentral:rRNA from 1 species